AAGACUAUACUUUCAGGGAUCAUUUCUAUAGUUUGUUACUAGGGAAAUGUGUUUCUAAAGUGUCUGGUCUCGCUAACCAUGUUGAGGAGUUACAGUGUUCCCUUCUGAGUGCGAAGCCGCUCUUGAAUGCUGCUUGACUGUAGCUGUUCCUGACCAUUGAUGACUGUUCCGCCCUCACUAGGAGGUGGAGGAAGAGAACGCAUUCUGAGUGGU